rnacentral:misc_RNA from 1 species
GAUGAAGAACGCAGCGAAAUGCGAUAAGUAGUGUGAAUUGCAGUAUUCAGUGAAUCAUCGAAUCUUUGAACGCACAUUGCGCCCCUUGGUAUUCCAUGGGGCAUGCCUGUUCGAGCGUCAUUUGUACCUUCAAGCUUUGCUUGGUGUUGGGUGUUUGUCCCGAGGGACUCGCCUUAAAGUAAUUGGCAGCCAGUGUUUGGUUUUGAAGCGCAGCACAAGUCGCGAUUCAAGGCUACACGCCCGCUUCCACAAGCCUUUUUUCACUUUUGACCUCGGAUCAGGUAGGGAUACCCGCUGAACUUAAGCAUAUCAAUAAGCGGAGGA